rnacentral:rRNA from 1 species
GACGAACGCUGGCGGCGUGCUUAACACAUGCAAGUCGAACGGUAAGGCCCUUCGGGGUACACGAGUGGCGAACGGGUGAGUAACACGUGGGUGAUUUGCUCUGCACUUCGGGAUAAGCCUGGGAAACUGGGUCUAAUACCGGAUAGGACUCCUGGCUUCAUGGUUGGGUGUGGAAAGCUUUUGCGGUGUGGGAUGGGCCCGCGGCCUAUGAGCUUGUUGGUGGGGGAAUGGCCUACCAAGGCGCGGACGGGUGGCCGGCCUGAGAGGGUGACCGGUCACACUGGGACUGAGAUACGGCCCAGACUCCUACGGGAGGCAGCAGUGGGGAAUAUUGCACAAUGGGCGCAAGCCUGAUGCAGCGACGCCGCGUGAGGGAUGACGGCCUUCGGGUUGUAAACCUCUUUCAGCUAUGACGAAGCGCAAGUGACGGUAGUAGCAGAAGAAGGACCGGCCAACUACGUGCCAGCCGCCGCCGUAAAAC